AUGGCGGCUGACACUGAGAUAUUCUUUCUUAAUUCUUAUUUCAUUUUCUUGGAUGGUGCCUCUUUUCUUUUUUGGCCUUUUUAGCUUUUUGUGCCUUGUGGCUGCCAUGUGUAAUGAAUUAGGCUGCUCUUUACUAACAUUUUUCACCAAAAAGGCACAACAAGUCUGUUAAUUUCGUUAUAUGUUGAAGAUGGUGCUGGUGUUCCUUGACUGUCAGUUUUAUUUAUGUUUUGCAAUCUCAAAAAGGGUUUGUUUUUGGUGUUGUCCUCGCUCUUUUAUUGGGUAGAGCAGCUUUUAUCAAGAACCAUUGCCCUCCAACAUGCUGGUGCUUAGAGAGUUCUCCAUCCUCAGUUGCAGGUACCAAAUGCCAAAGGAACUACCAUUAAAAUGCUAUUAGGAUCCAAUCCAGGUGGCAUACUUGCAGAUAUGGAAUUUUGCAGUGGCUGCAAUUACUUAUAUAUAACCAUUGAGCUAAACUAAUUGUUUUAUAUGACUAAGUUCGUGCAGUGUUUUCAAUUCAAGCUCUCAAAUCAAGUAUCACAGGCUGUGCCUGUGAAGCUAAGUUUUGCAACUCAAGCCUCCUUAUUGCAGAUAUGGUUACUGAAACAUAGUUAUCAAUGAGAUGUUCCAUUUGAAAAACCUUCAUUCUGCCUUGCCCAAACAUUUCAACCAUUCUAACCUAUUUCGUACCGCUUGGGCUAAGAUGAUUUAUCAGCAGAAGUUUGGAGCAUGAAGGUUGGAUAUUUCUUUGGAAUAUAAAUGGGUGCCUAAGCCCAUGGCUUUUUUUGGCUACUGUGAGCCCAAAAAUAAAUGUUGGGUUUUCGUCCUCGAGGGUCAAAAUUCAUCAAAAGACUGUUAGAUGCAAGCUUUCGUUUGGUUUAAAAUCUUCUGUUUUUCUGGGAUUGCAGUGAUGCAGCAGGACCUGUUGGAAUGUACCUAUUAUAUAUUUUCUGCCAAGAUAAAGGCAACCAAAAACCUGAUGUUUUCUGCCCUUUAUAAAGCUUAGGGGAUUUACACCAUAAAUUCCAAAGCUUUUCAUGGCGCCAAUCACCAUAUAUCCUGUCGGCAGUUCUAGUACUUUUCUGAGAUGUUUGGUACGAGAACAGUUUUGUCCUUUUUGCUCUCUUGACCUGCUAGGGAAUGGGGAGAAAGACAAUAUAUAUAUAUAUAUAUAUAUAUAUAUACAAUUUUCUUUGCGUUCUUUAGUUUCAAUGAGCUAGUCAUGAAGAAGUGCAAGUGUGGAACCGUUGAAAUUAUAUAAUUGUUUUAAAUGCUAAAUCAUAUAUAAUAGAUAUGAUUUUAAAUA